UCCUGCAGGAUCCUGUGCACUUUAUUCUUCCCUACCAGCCUCAGAAGCCACGUGCUGAAGACAGUGAAGUUCUGUCUGGGAAGAAGCAUCGAUCCCUAAAUGACUGCAUGGAGCAGAGCAGAGAUGUCUGCUCACUAAGUUGGUUCGAAGCUGAGGAGGAAAAAAAUUAGGUGCUAGGAUGCUGGAGAGAUCCUCAGAAACCCCUCUACAUGAAUCAUUUAAGUAGAUGAAGAGCUAGAUUGCAAUAAUCAUUGGGAGGAGAAGAAGAAUAAAACAUGAGAUUCCAUUCACAUCCCAGAAUUAAAGGUACUGUCGUGAUGCCCAUUUUACAGAUGAAGAAACUGAGGUUUCCAGAGGUCCAGUCCCUGCCUGAGCUGAUGCAGUUACGAAGGCUGAAGCCCGGACUUGAUUUGAGUUCGGCCUGCGGAGCCCCGGCUGAGCUACCUGCCUUCUAGCCCCACGGUGGAAAGGGAGAAUCCAGACAUCCUUGAGACCUACCCAAGGAGUUUCCCUGUUACUGCCCUGCCAUCCUUCUGAUGCCACCCUGUUCCGUAUCUGGCUGGAGCCAGCGUGGUUGUGUCUGGGUUUGGCUCCAUAGUAGAUGUUCUCGGUGGCCUUACUAUUCCUGUGCACGCCGGCCACUUUUGCCUGAAGCUCUCUGUGGCUGCCAAUGCCCACUUUGUUGAAAGUACUUGGAAAUUAAGACCCUCUAGGGAGUAUCUCUGAGUUGUGCCUGGUGAGAUUUCAUGAAGGAAUGGCCCAGCUCCUGCAGACCUAGGCGGGAUGUCUGAGGUGCACCUUCUACACGCUCUUUCAGUUGGAUUAAGUCCUAGGAUGCCCACAGGGGUCACUGAGAGGUUAACAAACAUUUUUUUUUUUUUU
rnacentral:lncRNA from 1 species